UUCGGUAUUGCUUUUUGGUUGUUUUUUAUUUUUACGUUUUUUUAUCUUCGAUUCUGUAUAAUUUUCUUCAAUAUUUUUUUCUUGCUUUGAUAGAGCUGAUUCCGUAUUUAUUUUUGUUUCUUUAUCUGAUUCAAACUCUUCUUGACCUGCUGAUUCGUUUUCUUCUUUAUUUAGAUUAAAAAACCGAAGGAAUUUUUUUUUCGUUUGAUGGUAUAAAACCUUUUUUCUUUAGGGUGAUCUGUUUAUUCACAUUUUUUGUUUCAUUAAAAUUGAAAAGAAGUAAUUUAAUUGGUAUGACCCACGGUUUCAUUUUAGUGAAUAACUAAAGAAAUUUUUUUUUUUGCAAACUUUACCUAUGAUAAUCCAAAACUCACCAUUACAAUGGGUGUAUGAUUCCAUUCUUGAAUGCAUUCGGACUUGCUCAACUCUUAAAGGUUUAAUAAUUGGGGAUGAACUAGGAACAUUCAUGGAAAGUCUGGUGACAAUGAAAUCAUGCAAUGUCAUUUUCUCAAACUGUGACUUGCAUGCAUUUUUGACUAUGAAUUAAUUUGCUAACUUGAAGGGUUCAAUUUUUGGUCAGAUAUGCAACAACAUAGCAACACAUAUAUCUCAUAUGGAGGUGAGUAUAUUUUAUAUAUUUUGUCAUACUUAACCAAAAUCAGUUGAUUCUUAUUGUUUCCAUUUUGUGUUGUAGAUGGGAAAAAUGGGCCAAAGAAACAUUCAAGAUCGUUGGGAAAACAGUGCUUUGAAUCUUUUUGGGAGGAUCAAGAUCGUUGGGAAAACAAUUUUUUGGAUCUUUUUGGAAGGACUGACUCUAAGAUUUAUAAAGAGGUACUUGAUUAGUUUCGUUGUUACUACAACUUCGGCAUUGGCCAUGCAGUGCGGAACGACAACAUUGUGGAAAAAGUCCUAUAAGAUCUCCAUGUGACAACCUAUGAUAAUUGUCUUACUUGGCAUACUUGGAAUUGUCGUCUAGCUACUGGAAUUCCACAUACUAUCAAGGUUAGUGAUUGAUUUGACUUUACAUAUUCUAUUAUUUGCUUUCAAUUAUUUGUUGAUACAAACUUGUCUCUUUUCCUUAAGUUGUUAGGUUACAGAUUUGAAAAAAAAAACUAGAAGAGUUUGUGGGUUUCAAGGCUCUGAUUCGGGUUUUAGAACAUGGUUUAAGAAUAAUACUCCAUAAUUUGGUUUAGCUACUUAUUAGAUCAUGGAAGCUAAAGCUUUCUGUUAGUAUAAACCAAAUCCCAAAGCUUAAGGUGAGAGACUGAUUUAUCUUCAGUAGGGUUUACUUUUGUAAUGUUUGUCAAACAUUUUUGCUUGCUAUCAGUUUUUCUGGAUAAAUUAAGUUUUUUUUAUUACAAACAAAGAGACUUGAACAGUUUAGAAGAAACACAUUAUCAGAUUGGGAUGGACCAGUAAAAAGAUAACUGUUAAAUUUGGUAAUUUGUAGACUCGUUAGAGUAAACUAUGAGUAGGAUUAUACAUUGAUGACAUAUGCAAGCAUUAUGGUGAAUUAGAAACGAUAAGUUAUGUAUUUAAUUAGCACUUGCCCAUUUACUCAAAAAUUAUGAAUUUGGGUCCAAUUUUUCAACACAUCAAAUCUGACCCAUGCUUUCAAAGGCUCAUCGAAUAGAUCUUUUGUUGGGUCAACGUUGAUAGCAUGAGCCUUGCAACUCUCUCCUCUUUGUUAUCUAUAAAAUUUUAUCCCCCACUUAAAAAACUCGAUAGCUAAUUCUUUGGCAAGCUCUAGCAGACCUUAGUUGUAGUUUUUUAAUUGAAGUUAGUAUUCUAUAAAUUGACAAAGUAUGUUAUUAUUUUGUUUUAAUGUUUUUCUUUGCAAACUUUACCUAUGAUAAUCCAAAACUCAUCAUUACAAUGGGUGUAUGAUUCCAUUCUUGAAUGCAUUCGGACUUGCUCAACUCUUAAAGGUUUAAUAAUUGGGGAUGAACUAGGAACAUUCAUGGAAAGUCUGGUGACAAUGAAAUCAUGCAAUGUCAUUU
rnacentral:lncRNA from 1 species